UACGUAGGGUGCGAGCGUUAAUCGGAAUUACUGGGCGUAAAGUGUGCGCAGGCGGCCGAGCAAGUCGAGUGUGAAAGCCCCGAGCUUAACUUGGGAAUUGCGCUCGAAACUACUUGGCUGGAGUGUGGCAGAGGAAGGUGGAAUUCCAGGUGUAGCGGUGAAAUGCGUAGAGAUCUGGAGGAACACCGAUGGCGAAGGCAGCCUUCUGGGCCGAUACUGACGCUGAGGAGCGAAAGCGUGGGGAGCGAACAGG
rnacentral:rRNA from 1 species